UACCACAUGCACAUCAAAUAGAACACUAAUCUCUAGGAUAUAUAAAGAACUCAAAAAUCUUAACACCAAAUCAUCAUCAUCAUCAUCAUCAUCAAUAAAUGGGCCAUGGAAGUGAACAGACACUUCUCAGAAGAUGAUAUAUAAUCAAUCAAUAAAUAUAUGAAAAAAUGUUCAACAUCUAGCAAUUAGAAAAGUGCAAGUCUAAACUACUCUAAGAUUUUAUCUCACUCUUGUCAGAAUGGCAGCUAUUAUGAAUACAGGGAACAAUAAAUGUUGGCGAGGAUAUGAGGAAAAAGGCACCCUCAUACAUUGCUGAUGGGAUUGCAAAUUGGUGCAACCACUAUGGAAAACAGUAUGGAGAUUCCCUAGAAAACUUUGAACGGACCCAGCUAUCCCACUCCUCAGUUUAUACCCAAAGGACUUAUAAACAGCAAACUACAGUGACACAGCCACAUCAGUGUUGACAGCAACAAGAUUCACAAUAGCUAAAUUUUCAACCCACCUAGAUGCCAUUCAGUAGAUGAAUGGAUAAAGAAAAUGGUAUAUUACACAAUGGAAUGUUACUCAGCAUUAAAAUCAAAUCAAAUCAUGGCAUUUGCAGGUAAAUGGAUGGGGUUGAAGAAUAUUAUGCUAAGUGAAGUGAGUGAAUUCCAAAAAAAUAAGUGCUGAAUGU
rnacentral:lncRNA from 1 species